AGCUUCCGCUCUUCUAUUGAUGCACAAUGGAUUUAUGUGUUUAACUCCCAUUAACACUAAUAGAAGCUUUGUGCAUUAAACCAAAAUACAGUUUUUAGCAGGGGUACUUGCUGGAGCAAGAAUGAAAUCAACAAAAGGCCACCCCAAUACAAGAAGCGACUUGCGAAAGUUGCCUACAUCUCUCUGCAUGAACCUACUUCAGGCUGCAAGCAUGGAGUCUGCAAGUAACAAUGCAUUCAUGCUUGAUCCUGGAGGACAGAGACAAUGUCUGGUGUCUUUCUCAGGAGUUCUCCACCUUACUAUUUAAGUCAGAACCCAGAGCAAGCAAGUAUGACUGACAUUCUUAUGGAUAUUAUGAAGUCAUCAUGGAUAUUUUCAUUAUCGUGAACAGUUUUCAAUUGGCAAAAUUAUUUAUUUUUUUGGUGAUCGCUAAAAGAUGAAAGUUCACCUGUGCAUACCCAAUCUCACAUACUUUGCAUGAGUGGCAGAGUGGCUGUGCAUCUGUAUGG